GUGGGGAAUCUUGCGCAAUGGGCGAAAGCCUGACGCAGCAACGCCGCGUGGGGGAUGAAGGCUCUCGGGUUGUAAACCCCUUUCAGCAGGGACGAAUCAAGACGGUACCUGCAGAAGAAGCCCCGGCUAACUACGUGCCAGCAGCCGCGGUAACACGUAGGGGGCAAGCGUUGUCCGGAUGUAUUGGGCGUAAAGAGCUCGUAGGUGGCGGAGUAAGUCGGAUGUCAAAUCCCCAGGCUCAAUCUGGGAUCCCAUCCGAGACUGCUCUGGCUAGAGUCCGGUAGGGGAGCGUGGAAUUCCUGGUGUAGCGGUGAAAUGCACGGAUAUCAGGAGGAACACCAGCGGCGAAGGCGGCGCUCUGGGCCGGUACUGACACUGAGGAGCGAAAGCGUGGGUAGCAAACAGGAUUAGAAACCCUUGUAGUCC
rnacentral:rRNA from 1 species